ensembl:lncRNA
CACUGCACUGCACUGCACUGAAGCCUGGAACUGAAGCCCCUCUCGUGACCACUGCACUGCAGCACUGAAGCCUGGAACUGAAGCCCCUCUCGUGACCACUGCACUGCCUGAUCUGGGAUCAGGCCUGUUUAUCUGAUCAUGAGGUUCCACGGGUGCUGGGUGUUAAAAGUUAAAUCCUUAAAAUGGAUUUUGCACUAUUAGUAUAGGUAUCAAACACACAAAAUGACAAAAUAAGAUGUGUGUUUUGCAAUACAAAUACACCCUCCACCAUAAUGUUCUGAUGACAAAUUAUGCUAUUGAGAGCUUAUGGAGUCUGAUGGACUAUAUGUACAAAAAUACUACAGUCUAAAGUCUGAUGAACCCAGUGAAUGUGAUCGAUCAACCAACCAACCAGGGUGGCGGAUGAACAAAGGGUGCUUUUUACAAACAUACAGUUGCAAUCGUAAAUAUUCAACCCCCUCACCUCAAAAGACAUUAUAGUGAUGUGUCAAGGAUAAUACAAAUAUAUGACAAAAAGGCAAAAAAUAUUUAUCUGUUACACACAAAUACAUCAUACAUUUUCUUUGUUGAUUUUAUGUUUCACUCAACUGAUAAGGAAGUUAUCCAAAGCAAAAUCUAGCUCUUUGAAAAAAACUUUCAUUGGUAAAUCAUUACAAUCUUUUUGGGGGUUGAAUAUUUCCGAUUGCAACUGUAAUUGACGCAAUUGAAUUGUUCAGUGAAAAAGUCAACUCAGUCCUCAGGAGCCUACUUAAGAAGUGUUGCUACUUACUAGCGGUCAGGUAAAAAGUUAGUUGCAUCUCCUCCUGCAUCUCGAACCGAAUCAGAGUAAGGUUCGGGCCAUUGAACGCCAAUUUGAUUGGACGCAAAAUUCAAAAGCUGGAGAGUGCUUCCUUCUCAGUCAAUUGUUCAUUUACAAAGUUGAGUAACCUAAUCUGUUUUAACAACCGUGUGGCUUUACAUCGCGGAUGUAAAAACAGCAGCUGAUGUCAGUAGGCCUAGGCUAGGAGACAACUGAGUUCAUGAACAAAAAGCUAAAAGGGGAUUUCUCAAUGAGAAGUGAAGAAGAGCCAACAGUGAGGAAUUACGUGAUUAGCCUACUUUCAUCAAAAACUACCGUCAGUCAGUCAGUCAGUCAGUCAGUCAGUGUUUUGCUCCCACUGUCGGUAACACGCUUCGGCCAGGAGCAAGACAAACAGCUUUAUGGUGGGCACCAAAAAAUUUGACACCAUCAAGGACCACAAAGUCUCCAAGUGCCACAAGGAGGUGAUCUGCAUCAUACAAUUCAGUUUCUGAUGAGGGAUUCUAAGGCGAGGGAGGGACAGAGAGGUGUGCGUGUGAUUGUUCAAGUUUGAUGUUAAAAGACUGUUCAAUGUUCUGUUUCUGUGCAUUUGAAGUGUAUGUGUGUGUGGUGUGAGGGAGAGAACAUUUUAAAAUGGAUAACAAUAAGUGAAUAAAUAUUAAAUCAAUACUUUUUAUGGGAAAAUGUCUAUUCGGGUUUUUUUUUUGCUUUAAAAAAAACAAAAAGUUAGUUACACACAAAAUCAAUUUAAUGAUUUUAGAAAAAACAUAAAAAAAAUUCCAUUCCUGCUGCACAGCCACGGAAAGAAUAAAUACUUUGAUGAUACCAAAAAAAAACAAAGCCAAUGAAUCUCCAAUGAUCCUCAACCAUAACUAUUUUAAUACACUGAAAACAACGGAAGGACUUCAACAGAACCAACAAACCCAAUCAAUAUUCAAGGCCAUAUUACGGAGGCUUUCAAAAUGCUAAACCAUGAGUAACUUGACUAAGCUUUUGUGUAUGUGUGUGCACUUUUUAAAUCUCCCACCUGAGGAGAUUUGGAGUGGAUUUCUGCAGUGGUAGAGGACAGAGGAGUGAGUGUGCAUACAACUCAGUGAGGAAUGACUGAAUCUCCUACUAUAAUGGCAUUUCAGAACAUAGGGAGUUCAGCCAAGCCCCCCCACUACGAUCCUGGCUAGAAAAUCUGCACCGUCCUCCCACCUACCAGCUCUGAGCCAUGAGAUUCAAUAGUCACACUCUUUCUGUCUCCCAUAUUCAAUGGGACAACAAUGGCCUCAGUGUGUUGUAUCUUACACUGUACUUAAGCCGCAUCCAACUGCUUAGAAUAACAAGAGAGCCCCAAAAUUCCAAUGUGAAACUCGGAAGAAUAUAUGCAAUUCAAUAUGGACCCAAGGCAGUAUUUCCAUCAUAGAUGUACUGCUUCAUUGGAAACACACAGCUGCCAAUUUUCCAUAGUAUGCAUGCAUCUGCCUGCCUGUCUGCUUUGAUUAAUGUGGAGAGACGGAGCUCAUCAGGUUUUGCAUAAUGAGGUGCUGAUAAUGACUGCAUUUGCCGCACCUUGCCUCUCAGGACUGAAGACAUUACUCCCCAUGUGUGAACCUUUAAUUACCCCUGUGUCUGUCCACCUUGCCUCUCAGGACUGGAGACAUUACUCCCCAUGUGUGAACCUUUAAUUACCCCUGUGUCUGUCCACUGGCUUGGGCUCUCAUUAGACCAUCACCUCAGAUACCCACACUGCUGGGGGUUGGGUGUGCCUGAUUGACUCUGUGUCCCAGCCCAUCACUGCAGAUACCCACACUGCUGGGGGUUGGGUGUGCCUGAUUGACUCUGUGUCCCAGCCCAUCACUGCAGAUACCCACACUGCUGGGGGUUGGGUGUGCCUGAUUGACUCUGUGUCCCAGCCCAUCACUGCAGAUACCCACACUGCUGGGGGUUGGGUGUGCUUGAUUGACUCUGUGUCCCAGCCAAUCACAAUGCAGAGCAGCUAGCCAUGAGCUUGUCUCAUGAUACCCCAUGUAUUGGGCUCUUGAGACCCAACAAGCAAGUCUGUAGUGUGAGACCCACUUUACAUAAAUUGAGUAAUCCAAAUACAUAAAUCAAACAAAGAAUGACAAACUGCCUUCACUGACAAACAUGAAGUUAAAUGACUCACCAUUAAAAACACCUUUUUAAAAACAAAAACACAGAACAUCUCAGACACCGCAUGAGAGGAGAAUACAAAAAGAUUCCCAUCUCCCAUUCAAGGGUUCCCAUCUCUAUGUUCUUUCUUUUCUGGUGGAAGAUGAAUGAUUUCGCCUAAAUUAUAGAGCAAGUUUAAGGGUUUCAUAAAGCUACUCAGAAUGGUGUAUACCUAUCAUUUUGCUGAUGGGGACAGAUAUGUAAUACUUUGCCUAUAAGGUUCUGAUCAGUUUUGCCCAUUUCAUAGAGAUGUGUAUCGGACACAGCCCCUCCAAAAGCAUAUGUUUUUUUUCCCCCGCAUUUUUAAACAUCCACUGCUCAAAAAGUAUUAAUCAUAUCCAACUAAUUUUUGUCUUCCUGCUGCAAAACAAACGUUUGUGGGUAUCUGUGCCGUUUCAAGGCCAGGUGAUUUAAUCUGGCAGAAACUGGCCUGUAAAAAUGGCUCCAGAAUGAAGAUCACAUGUGGAACACAUGGUUAAAAAUGAUUCACAUAAAUUCCCAUAAAGAACACAAUCUGAUGUAUAAAUAAUGCAGAAAUUGAAAAAAGGGUCUUUAACUUUAUUUAUUAAUUAUUGAAUUAAUAAUUCCCCCAGGGCUCUAAUAUUUGGCAUUUCUCCAUCAUAUGUAUUCAUCUUCCAGCAGAAACAUUUGAGGCACUGGCAUGAUUGCUUGUACUUUGGGACCGGUUAGAUAUUUGCUUCUAACGUCUCUCUCUACACCAAGUCUGCUCUGCAAGAAGUCACUCAGAGGUAACUGCGUUAUUGAAUAACCAAAUAGUCUGCCUAAUGAUGACCUUGUGCAGUAGCGUUACAACCCCCAGGGCCAGCACCAAGGCAAAGAGGUAAUAUUAUAAACCAAUCAUACAAGAGGAUAGGUGACUAGAAAACCCACUCUCUUUCACAUCUUGUCCUUCUACCAACAGCCAUUUGACCCCUGGUGGUCAGGCCAUCCUAGAACAUCCAAAUCUAAAAACAAAUUGGGUAAGUACGUAAAUAUAUAUAUAUAUAUUUUUAUUCCCAAAAGUAUAAUUUGACAAUAAGACAAUUCUAUGAAAGUGGCAUGGCUUUAAAUAGAUAUAUUUUCUAAAAGACAAGGGAAUCUAGACUAGGGAAGUAUCUUUGCUACUUUAUGGCACGGGGAAAAAAAUGGAGGACAAUUAUAGCCUAUCAAUUACAUGUCACUGUGUUUAUAACUUUUCCAAUAAACACAGUUAGACAAAAAAGACUUACUGUAGGAACAAACAUUUUGACAUUAUGAAUACAAACUGUCACAACUGAAAGACAGAUCUUAGAGCUUCAUGAACUUUGCAAGACCCCUCUAACACUGAAAACAAUAAUAGAUUAGUGUUGCCCUUCUACUCAGCUGCUGAUUUAAAGGCGAGGGGAUCUGUGAUCUGCUGUGCAGGGGUUGGUCUGGAAGAGUGUACAUUAUGGCUUACACCUUCAUAAAACAAGCAUGCUCCUAACACACAUUGUGAGAUAACUCCAUGUGGCUAGCGAGUUUCUGUCAUAUCAACAAUGAGAGGUAUGUAAUAUUAGCUCGGGUCCGCAGUUAAUAGAUAAACAGAGUUGACAGUUGAAUUUUGUCAUGAUGUUGCCAACGCUCGGUUAAACGGAUGCAUGGAAGACUUACUUCAUCCAUGAAAAUACCAGCACCACUGUUGAUUCAUUAAAGCCAAUAUUUCAGCUGACAUUUUACAUGUGUUCAUACAGUGACAGGAACCUCAAUAUGUUAACUCCGUCAGUUAUAAUUCCUUUUUGCUGUAUUUACCACAAAACCUCUGGUAAAACAAAACACUCUUGCACUUGUUGUCCACUCACGUCACAUUUAAUCAAUAAGCAACUUACAAAUAGUUUACUCAGUUGCAACACAGUUAUAGUCUGCAAGUUAGCAGAUCAGACAACAUUAGGUUAGGUCCAGAUUGACUGAGUCGGUCAGGUUACGGCAAAUCGUCCACAUUUUAAGGAGGGCCUUAACAUCUGCAGAGGAGAGCAUCAGAAUGUCAUAACCUACUUACACCAUUAUCUAACUAAAGCCUCUUUGGACAGCAUGUCAGAUCGGUGUGGUCAAACCCAUGGGGGAAAAAUGAUGAAAUGUCCAGAAAUGGAAAAAAAAAAAAAAAAAAAAAACACACAACAUGAAAAUAUGUAAAGCUGAUUACAUGAUGAGGGAUUCUUACACAACUGGUUUUCAGCAUAGACAGCCAUCUGUCAUCUGUGAAUGACUGGCUCGUUUUCUGCAUUGUUUGUGGAGCAAACAGGACUUCCUGAUAUCACGUUUCUAUAAAAAAAAUAUUCUUCAUUGAUUAUGUAGGCCAAUGCAUGGUACCCCAAACAAUUAUCAGUAAGAAUCACCAUUUUUCACACAAAGAACCAGUUGCUGGCAGAAGGGCUUUCCUCAACGCAUGGAAUCAAGGAAAGUCUUAACCUUUUGGACUCAAACCUUUUAACUACUGUGCAUACUUAGGUGGGGCUUGUUGUGGUCAUUGUUGCAUAUUAAUUAAAUGCAAGUAGAAUAGAAGCAUCAACUCUCUAUGUUUUCAACAUAGUCAAGCUGUGUAGCCAGCAAGUAAAACAAAACUGUAAAUGUACUGCAAUGGAAAGAAAAUGGUGAAUUAACCAUCAAGGACCUUGCAGGUUUAGUUUCACUGCAUCAACUCUGUGUGAACUUUCCCAACAUUAUUCAGACAGAGUUCCAGAAACAACUGUAACUGCAUCACAUUCAAUUUUCCUGUUUCCUGCAGCACAGUCCGAAAGCAAAAGAGAGGGAGAAAAGAUAAGAGACACCGAGAAAAAGAGCAGAGGGGGUGCACGAGGGAUCUAGUUUAAAAAAGGUGCUAGCAGUUUUGAAGCAGUGAUCCCUCUUUGUGUUGGCUGCCCAUGGUUCACUGCGCUGGCAGAAGGCUAAGAAAGAUGUAUGACUACCCAUCUUUUUUACAGUAUAUCAUUCGAGCACCAUGUUGUAGUGUUAAAUGAGCUCUGUGUGCAUUCACAUCUUUUUUCAGUCCCACAUAAAUAAGACUUCAUGACCAGGAAACUCAACCUGAUCCAAACCAAACAUUGUUAACAACCACAGCCCGGAGUACUGGGCACAGAGACAACAAGCAAACUAAUGUCUUCAUUAAACAGUAAAAUAGGCACAGAUUACCAGGAGUGCUGAACCUGCCAUACAAAAUCCAGGGCCAGGCUGAGGUAAUCUGUUGUUGUUUUUAGUUUUUUUUUGCCUGAGGGAGGAACACAUCAGACUAUUGUUCCAGGGCCUUUAUGGGACCACAGACUGAAGACCUUGGGAUCGUCAUGUUCUGUAUGACAUCAUCCGCUGGAACAACUGAGGGUGAAACAGUCACAAUAACCACAGAGGGAGUAUGAAGUUUGCCCUGCAUGUCCCCUCAGGUAAAUUAAAUGACUGAUGAAAAUCCUUCAGGGCUUUCAAAAUCACUAAAUGUUUCCAGAACAUUAAUCUGCUGGAAGAAGGUAGGUAUAUUUCUUUCUCCACUGGAAGUUUCUUCAAUGUAGUGUUUCAAUUAGAAUAUUCAAGAAACUGUUACAUUUCCUUUCAGCAUUUUCAUGCCAUAGACUACUGAAUGUGAUUCACUAGCUAACUGGCCUACACAUUAGGGUCCUCUAGGUGAGAAUAUUAUUAAAAUACAUAAAAAUAGGCCUACAUAAAUCCUGUGUGCAUAUUAACUUUGUAUACAUGCCACAUUGCAUGAAAGAGAAAACACCUCACUAGAUCUAUGCUAAUUGAGCUUGGUGAGGACAAAGAACAGAGCCCAGAACAUAUUACUAAACUCCUGUCGAGGAAAUUACCUCUGGAACAGCCUUAUGCAAAUCAAUGACAAUGAUUUCCAUGCCCCACGCAGCUGUAUUUGUGAUCUAUGCUGUUUACAAUACAAACACCUGCCUUCUGAACAAUGCAACGAACAAAGUAAGAAUCGUAGCCCAACAAUGUGAAUUGCAAAUGACACCUUGUCGCCUUUGAGUGCGACUACCGUUGCUAUCUAUAAACACUGACGUGCAAAGGUUCGUUUGAAAUGAAUGAGUCUCUUUAAUUAUCUUUAAUGUCUACUACCUAACACUGUGCAGCUUCUAUCUUCCUAUUGAGAUUACGGACUACUACACGGGUGUCAGAGAAAGACAAGUCGAAGGUCAGUGUAUAUUGAGCAACUGAGGCCUGUGCCAUACCGCUUACCUCACCUGUGCGUGGCGGCUUUUCAUUUCGGCACCCACAGGUUAAGUUAGAGCAGCCUGUGUGAGACGCGCGUCUGAGGCGCGGCUCGUCAGCUACCAUUUCGGCGUGGAGACUUAUUUUUCACCCGUGAGGUGCGCGUUUCUCAGCCAAAUUAGACAGCAAAAAAGACAAAAAUAAACAAGCUAGCAGUAGUAGCACCUCAACGAUGUGGCCAUACACUUGCGUGCGAACCUCAGCAGCUCGGCAAGGUUGCAGUCACGCACAGGUAAGGUAACGUUAAGCGAUGUGGCCCAGGCGUGAUGCAAAAACAGAAGACAAGUUCACUUACCGCGUCUUUCUCCUCAGGCCCACUUUCCGGUGGAUCCGAACUGCUCAACUUUCUCUUCUCGGUCCUCUUCAUGGUGUAGGUAGUACCUGGAUUCAAUCAAGAGCUAGUAGACGGAGUCAUUCAUUGAAACUUGUGCGAUUCCCCGCUUGUGGGUUUAGCAGGUUAGCCUUUUAUCUGUCCAACACAUUGGUCAACGUUGUGGUUUGCAGAAAUUCAUUACGUUUCUGGAACACUCCAUCAAGAUAAGGUAGUGGUAUUUUCUCACAAAAUAAAAGCCCACACAACAAAGUGUUUCUGCGUUGAUUUUUGUCGCGAACAGUGAGAGCAAGCUAACUAACUAGCAACUUCAGUCGCACUGGCUUGUUGGUUACGUUUGAAACUACAUGAUGAGGCUUGUCAUUCGGUGGAGUCUUGAUGCUAAGUUCAUGUUGGCUAGCACUUCGCGCGAGAGGCUAGCUAUCAGUGCCCAGACUGAAAAGUUAGUAUCAACGUAUGCAAAGGCAUACAAAUAAUCAAAAACUGUGGACUUUCAAUGAAAACAAAGAUGUUCGACACCGACUUCACGUACUAAGUGACGUCAUCACCGUAAUGUUCCGUUUAAAACAGCUAAGUUAAUUUCAGUGACCAUCAAAGCUUUCAAGAAAUGAAACAAUUGCGAAUAGUUGCUGAGCCAGUUUACACCACGAAUCCGACCUACCGGGUCCCCGUCGAGUAAAAUUUCGUUAGCUUAGCUAACGUUAGCUGUGACAAUUUAAACAGAACUAGUAUCACUGUUCUGUCCUAUCACCACAGUUGUCUCCUCCAACGCCGGAGCUAGCUUCCUUGAGCUAAAAUAUAAUGUCAUUGAAUAUCCCAUGAAAAACGUUUCUUGGCAACACAACAAAUGUAGAUUCUUCUUCGGUUCCCGCGGCGAUAUGCUUAUGUUUCAGCGAAGUAUGUCAAUUACACCAUGUAUCCCCUGCACGUUUAGCUCGCGUUCCGCUGGAGACACGUACUGACAAGUAUCGCAUGUCCAGUCUGUCAGGUAGGUGUAAAAUGUGCGACACAACCGCUUCUUGUCUGCAUUGGACUGGUAACGUGUGAUGCUAUUGAAGAAUGGGUUCAUCCGGUUAGCGAGAUACCUUCUCCUCCAGUACCCCCACAGGCGGUGAUAUAUUGCUGCAGAUGCAAUACCCCGGCAACCAGUGUGAAGAUCUCCACAUGACUUGCUUCCUGAAUCUUGUCUCAAGCGUAAUGUCAGUGGAUGUUUACUUGAUAACUGAUCGAAGGUCAGAGUGACUAAUACGUUGACCAAAUGCUAUAACGUAAAGGGAGUUUAGGCUGAUUUCACAUCAGUUUAAAAAUCAGCAAGGAAAAAUGCAGACGAAAAAAAAGUGAGGCUGUUUGCUGCUUAGCCGGUUAGUUAUUUUGCAGUUUGCUGCCAUCUUCUGUCUGCUGACAGUUGUUACCCUUCUCAAUGGAUUUUAAAAUGACUGCAUCGAUAUGUUACGAUCCAGAUUGAAUUUCUGUUAUUUACAUGUUGGUUAAUGCACUUAAACCUGCACGUGUUUCGAUACACGGGAAAUGUAAUUCAUUUUGGCCUA